CUAAGAAUAUUCCGCAAUGGACGAAAGUCUGACGGAGCGACGCCGCGUGGAUGAGGAAGGCCGAAAGGUUGUAAAAUCCUUUUGCGGAUGAAGAAUAAGCGGGGCAGGGGAUGGCCUCGUGAUGACGUUAGUCCGUGAAUAAGCCCCGGCUAAUUACGUGCCAGCAGCCGCGGUAAUACGUAAGGGGCGAGCGUUGUUCGGAAUUAUUGGGCGUAAAGGGCGCGUAGGCGGUUAUGUAAGUCUGAUGUGAAAUGGCGGGGCUCAACCCCGUCACUGCAUUGGAAACUGGAUGACUUGGGUCAUGGAGGGGUAGUUGGAAUUCCGCGUGUAGGGGUGAAAUCUGUAGAUAUGCGGAAGAACACCGGUGGCAAAGGCGAACUACUGGCCAAUGACUGACGCUAAGGCGCGAAAGUGCGGGGAGCAAACAGGAUUAGAUACCCUGGUAGUCCGUACUAUAAACGAUGUACACUAGGUGUUGGGCCGAGCGGUUCAGUGCCGAAGCGAACGUGAUAAGUGUACCGCCUGGGGAGUAUGCCCGCAAGGGUGAAACUCAAAGGAAUUGACGGGGGCCCGCACAAGCGGUGGAGCAUGUGGUUUAAUUCGAUGAUACGCGAGGAACCUUACCUGGGUUUGACAUGGCAGUUAGUGGUAUAGAGAUAUAUCAGCCGAGCAAUCGGAGCUGUCACAGGUGCUGCAUGGC
rnacentral:rRNA from 1 species